rnacentral:misc_RNA from 1 species
AACUUUUGGCAAUGGAUCUCUUGGUUCUGGCAUCGAUGAAGAACGCAGCGAUAUGCGAUAAGUAGUGUGAAUUGCAGAAUUCAGUGAAUCAUCGAAUCUGUGAACGCACAUUGCGCCCCUUGGUAUCCCGAGGGGCAUGCCUGUUCGAGCGUCAUUUCAGCACUCAAGCCUGGCUUGGUGUUGGGCGACGUCCCCUUUGGGGACGCGCCUCGAAACGCUCGGCGGCGUGGCACCGGCUUUAAGCGUAGCAGAAUCUUUCGCUUCAAAAGUCGGGGCCCCGUCUACCGGAAGACCUACUCGCAAGGUUGACCUCGGAUCAGGCAGGGAUACCCGCUGAACUUAAGCAUAUCAAUAAGCGGAGGCU